rnacentral:rRNA from 1 species
CAUGUAGGCGGAUUAAUAAGUUUGAAGUGAAAUCCUAUAGCUUAACUAUAGAACCGCUUUGAAAACUGUUAAUCUAGAAUGUGGGAGAGGUAGAUGGAAUUUCUGGUGUAGGGGUAAAAUCCGUAGAGAUCAGAAGGAAUACCGAUUGCGAAGGCGAUCUACUGGAACAUUAUUGACGCUGAGAUGCGAAAGCGUGGGGAGCAAACA